rnacentral:rRNA from 1 species
GAUGAACGCUGGCGGCGUGCUUAACACAUGCAAGUCGAACGAUGAAGCCCAGCUUGCUGGGUGGAUUAGUGGCGAACGGGUGAGUAACACGUGAGUAACCUGCCCUUGACUCUGGGAUAAGCCUGGGAAACUGGGUCUAAUACUGGAUAUGACUUCUCAUCGCAUGGUGGGGGGUGGAAAGAUUUAUUGGUCUUGGAUGGACUCACGGCCUAUCAGCUUGUUGGUGAGGUAAUGGCUCACCAAGGCGACGACGGGUAGCCGGCCUGAGAGGGUGACCGGCCACACUGGGACUGAGACACGGCCCAGACUCCUACGGGAGGCAGCAGUGGGGAAUAUUGCACAAUGGGCGCAAGCCUGAUGCAGCGACGCCGCGUGAGGGAUGACGGCCUUCGGGUUGUAAACCUCUUUCAGUAGGGAAGAAGCGAGAGUGACGGUACCUGCAGAAGAAGCGCCGGCUAACUACGUG